CUCAUAACAGCCUAACUAAUCCAACUUGGUAGUAACAGCUUUUUGAAUUUGCAUAACCAAUUUUUUCUCCAAAGCAUCUGCCUUCUUUUCUAUAUAAAUAUAUUUACACUUUUACCUUUUUAGUGAAAGCUAGAUUGAUCGGUGGAAUUCAGUCAGUCUAAGUUUAAUCCAGCACAAAGAGGUGAAGGGAUGGAUAUUUUUUUUAGUGAUUCAGGGC
rnacentral:lncRNA from 1 species